rnacentral:rRNA from 1 species
GUAGUCCUGGCCCUAAACGAUGUCAACUAGAUCGUGGUGCUUUGACGGCUUCACGGUCGAAGCAAAAGUGCUAAGUUGACCGCCUGGGAAGUACGGUCGCAAGGCUAAAACUCAAAGGAAUUGACGGGGGCUCACACAAGCGGUGGAGCAUGUGGUUCAAUUCGAAGCAACGCGCAGAACCUUACCUGGGCUUGACAUGGCCCUGCAAGCCGGUGAAAGCCGGUCGCCUUCGAGGGUGGGCCACAGAUGCUGCAUGGCUGUCGUCAGCUCGUGUCGUGAGAUGUUGGGUUAAG